rnacentral:rRNA from 1 species
CAGUAGCCGCGGUAAUACGGAGGGUGCGAGCGUUAAUCGGAAUUACUGGGCGUAAAGCGUACGCAGGCGGUUUGUUAAGUCAGAUGUGAAAUCCCCGAGCUUAACUCGGGAACUGCAUUUGAAACUGGCAGGCUAGAGUCUCGUAGAGGGGGGUAGGAUUCCAGGUGUAGCGGUGAAAUGCGUAGAGAUCUGGAGGAAUACCGGUGGCGAAGGCGGCCCCCUGGACGAAGACUGACGCUCAGGUACGAAAGCGUGGGGAGCAAACAGGAUUAGAGACCCCAGUAGUCCCUGUCUCUUAUAC